rfam:Gossypium hirsutum cultivar TM-1 chromosome 4, whole genome shotgun sequence
AACCCAUGGUGAGGGCACCUUCGCAAAAGGUCCUUGUAUCUCUCCCAUGCAUCAUAGAGUGUUUCUAAAUUCAUAUGCACAAAAGAGGAGAUAUCAUUAAAUAAUUUGGCU